UCUUUAUUUUAUUUAUUGCAUUAUUAUUAUUAUUGUUAUUAUUAUUAUUAUUAUUGCACUUGUUCUAAUACAUAAUUGUUUCUAUAGCAACAGCUCAUACACAAGGACUUGUAAGGACUUGUACAGCGGACGCUCCACGUGAUGUAAAAUAAUCAUGCAUAGAUUUAAAAACAUGGUCUCAUUUAACCGAGAAAAACGUAUGAUUGUUGAUGUGAAGGUUUUUUCGUUGCUGUUGUUUUAAGAGACGUUUAUGUCACAACAUGUGUCAGUGCUUUGUGCCAGUCAUGGUGCUUCUGGGUUCUGUGUUAAGUUAAACGUUGUAAUGGUUACUACGGAUCAGGCCGUAUCACACCACCCCAGUGUGGAUUACUGUAGUAUAAACCACACCGUCUGUCAUGUUAUUCUGUCCUUCCUUAUUUUAUUUCAGAUUGUUUUUUGUUUUGUUUUCAAUAUAUAUUUUUGAAUUUUAGAGAUGGUAUUUUUGUUUGCCUAGAUUAAAACCAGCUGUGUAAACUAGCUAGUUGCGAGUUGAAUUGGAAUAAUUGUGAAUAUUUUGGUUUUGGGUCAUACAGACACUUUUAUAAUAGGCGUUCAUCCUGUAAUAGUGAGUGUUAUAGCGGUAGUGUGUUCGAGUGGGUAAACACGUCUAUUGUUUUGAGAAGUUUAUAUAACUCCAGCCCGGACAAGCCUGUGCUAAAAGGGAAUUUAGCGAUUAGUCUCUGACUUGCAACGUUCCAGUUUUCCCUCAUAGGAGUUCAUGACCUUAGUGACGUUUUAAAACCAUGUUUAUCAGAUUGUGCAAGAACAAUGAGUGUAUUGUGUGUAUUAACUUGGCACUCGGAACUGUCAGAUUAAUCCCCGUAGUGGAAAAGGCCACAGUGCAACCCAGUUAAAAAAUAUCUUGCAGUGGCGUUUUUCUACCAGAAGAGGCAGGAUUCUAAAACUUUACAUAAAUCAGCUGUAAAAAAUAAAGUGCCCAAAGUGCGUACUAACAAUAAACUUUGUCUUGUAGCGGUGAUCGUGUCAGUGUUGUUGACUCUUUAAACCUCAAAAGGCCCUAAAAAGAGAGACUAGAUUUGAAUUAACAUCAUUUGACCUCUUGCUUAUGUUGCUAUGAAUGCAGAGUGAUUGACAGCCAAAACUGUACCGUCGCUAUGCGUGCCACACGGGUAAAUCUCAACCUGCGUUGCCUGGCGAGUGAACGACAAUAAGCUGGCUGUCAUCCGAGUCAAACAAAACCGCGUAACCCGAGACCAAGGAGGAACGCUGUUCUGUAGUCAUAGGAAUCAUCUCCCCUCCUUCCACAACAGUGCCGAAGCAACACUACUUUACUCAUGACUUCAAACGCUUAGGCUCCAGAAACCUCCUGCCGUCAAACAUCAUCAGACUGCCAGAGUUUGAAGACGUCUUGCAUGACAUAUAAGUUUUUGUUGACUCGUUCAUCUUCUAACCCUGUUCAGGACAGCAAGAGCUUCUCUCAGAGUGCACCAUGGGGUGUAGCGCGAGUAAAUCCCUUAAAGUCGUAAAGGUCGCAGAAACCAUCGGGGAUGCCGACGAGAACGUCGACUCGAAGGGGUCGGACGAUGGAGAUGCGAACUCGAAAGCAGGGGACGAUGCCGACGACGCCGGGAACGACGAGAGCUGAUGACGUUUCUCCUGCACGCGUUACUUUUAAGACUCCAUAAAGUUCUCCACACCUGGAGGAUGAUCCUGGAUCCACUCAGAUCCAGAAGAUCCUGGAUCCCCAAGACCUAUAGAUGCAGUCCAGUACAAAAUUUUGCACCACCCCCCUUUUCCCAUUUUACAACAAUUACAGUGUACCUAGGUUUUAGAAAGAAAGAGAAUUUGAAGAAGUUAAAUAUGAAAUGUGGGUGUAUCCUGCAACAAGACAACAGGAUAAAUCAACAGAAAUCUAUUUUUGAAAAGAAGUGAAGAAGGCAGAGGUUGACGUCGGUGUGUGGUGAAUGUUACUAUUAGAAUUUAAAACCUCAAAAAAGGAUGCGAAAGAUGUAGAAGGGAAAUGCUGGGCAUACAUGCCUAGGAGACAUAUUUAAGAGGGGAGAUGAAAACUUUUGAACUGAUAUAAUUUGCACUCUUUUCACUUUUAAUAUCCCAACACAGUGUGACCAUUUUUCUGAUUUGAGUCUCAAUAACAAAGAAGCAUUUUUUUUUUUAAAAACAUAACUCCAAAUAUCUUGUGUUAAAUGUGUUAAAUUGUCUAGACGUGCUACACCUAGUGUCUAAAUGCUCAAUUAGCCAAAAUAAAUAAUCGACAUUGAAAAAA